UACGAAGGGGGCUAGCGUUGUUCGGAUUUACUGGGCGUAAAGCGCACGUAGGCGGAUCGAUCAGUCAGGGGUGAAAUCCCAGAGCUCAACUCUGGAACUGCCUUUGAUACUGUCGAUCUGGAGUAUGGAAGAGGUGAGUGGAAUUCCUAGUGUAGAGGUGAAAUUCGUAGAUAUUAGGAAGAACACCAGUGGCGAAGGCGGCUCACUGGCUCGGUACUGACGCUGAGGCGCGAAAGCUAGGGGAGCGAACAGG
rnacentral:rRNA from 1 species